AUAAUAAAAUUUGAAAAAAAGAGUAAGCUCGUUUAGAUUUUUAGAGAGUGGGCGCUUGGUGAAAGCUCAUAAUUACGGCGAGAUUGAAAAUCAUUUUUCUUUUUGCAAGUCUGAAACAAAAGUAAGACUUGACGCUUUGGUAGGCGUUAUCUACACCCGGCAUUGAUAGAUGCUUGAGUGCUUAUUAUUUUAAUAAGAAUAAAAGGUGGUAACGCGGAAUUUUCGUCCUUUGU
rnacentral:ncRNA from 1 species